rnacentral:rRNA from 1 species
CGUGUAGGUGGUUCUGUAAGUAGGGCGUGAAAGCUCCUGGCUCAACUGGGAGAGGCCGUUCUAAACUGCAGAGCUAGAGGAUGGUAGAGGGAGGUGGAAUUCCGGGUGUAGCGGUGGAAUGCGCAGAUAUCCGGAGGAACACCAGUGGCGAAAGCGGCCUCCUGGACCAUUCCUGACACUCAGACGCGAAAGCUAGGGUAGCAAACGG